AACAGGGAUUGCCUUAGUAACGGCGAGUGAAGCGGCAAAAGCUCAAAUUUGAAAUCUAGCACUUUCAGUGUUCGAGUUGUAAUUUGAAGAAGGUAACUUUGGAAUUGGCUCUUGUCUAUGUUCCUUGGAACAGGACGUCACAGAGGGUGAGAAUCCCGUGCGAUGAGAUGUCCAAUUCUAUGUAAAGUGCUUUCGAAGAGUCGAGUUGUUUGGGAAUGCAGCUCUAAGUGGGUGGUAAAUUCCAUCUAAAGCUAAAUAUUGGCGAGAGACCGAUAGCGAACAAGUACAGUGAUGGAAAGAUGAAAAGAACUUUGAAAAGAGAGUGAAAAAGUACGUGAAAUUGUUGAAAGGGAAGGGCUUGAGAUCAGACUUGGUAUUUUGUGUUCCUUAUCCUUCUUGGAUUAGGUUCCUCACAGCUUACCGGGCCAGCAUCGGUUUGGAUGGCAGGAUAAUGACAUUGGAAUGUAGCUUUGCUUCGGUGAAGUGUUAUAGACUUUGUUGAUACUGCCUAUCUAGACCGAGGACUGCGUCUUUGACUAGGAUGCUGG
rnacentral:rRNA from 1 species